GAUGAACGCUGACAGAAUGCUUAACACAUGCAAGUCUUUGGCGAAGCUGUGCUCGCACAGCCUAGCCAAGGCGGACGGGUGAGUAACGCGUAAGGAACUUGCCCUGCAGUCAGGGAUAACAGACGGAAACGACUGAUAAGACCUGGUAAAGUCAGGCGGACUCAUGUCCAGCCUGAUGAAAAGGGAUGCUGCAGGAGAGCCUUGCGUCCUAUUAGCUUGUUGGUGGGGUAACGGCCCACCAAGGCGAUGAUAGGUAGCCGGCCUGAGAGGGUGGACGGCCACAAGGGGACUGAGAUACGGCCCUUACUCCUACGGGAGGCAGCAGUGGGGAAUAUUGGACAAUGGGGGCAACCCUGAUCCAGCAAUUCUGUGUGCACGAUGAAGGUUUUCGGAUUGUAAAGUGCUUUCAGCAGGGAAGAAAAAAAUGACGGUACCUGCAGAAGAAGCGACGGCUAAAUACGUG
rnacentral:rRNA from 1 species